UCGGUGCACGCCUUAGGGUGCGUCUGCAUCGUUGUUCGCGAAUACUUUCCCACCGUGGAGUUUGGCUGGAACAACGUCUACCAACAUGUACAUGUUAUGCUCUUGUUAUUAAGUUUUUUGAUUAAUAAAGAUCUAUCUGGAUGGUUGCUAUGAAAGCAAACCGUAGUAGAGUUAAUCUCUGUCUUCACGGAUGUCUUCAUGGAAGAAGUUAAUAACGAAGACAUAAUAUAUGGAUAAUAGAUAACGGUUAUGGUAAAAUUGAUUUAAAUACCUAGUGUUUUUAUCUAUUUAAGAAUCUUAUAAUUUUCAAAGGUGCCAAAAAGUAAUCGCGUGCAUCGACGCUGUACACCAUAAACACGUAAUAACGUGGAGCCGUCGUCAUGGGUGUCCCACGUAUUAUGCAAGAGAUGGGCCGGUAGAAAAUUUUUCAGGCCGUUGAACAGAGUGUACGGUCCUCUGUAGCAUACCUUCGCCCACGAUGAAGUUCGAACUUACUCGAUUUCUCUUUAGGGCCAAGGAGAUAGU
rnacentral:misc_RNA from 1 species